AAUUUAAUAGUUUGUUAUCCGUUUUUUAGGGUUUGUUAGGUUUGUUAUUAGGUUGUAUUAGUUUCUUAGGGUUAAUUAUAUUUUCAAGCUCUAAAUGAGAGAUAAUCUGCUUAUAUAUAAUAGUAUGUCUUUAGUUAUAAAAACUAUAAGACUAUAACAUAUUUUUCAAGUUAACUUUCUACUCCCUUUGUCCCAAAUUAUAAGUCACUUGGUCAAAAAAAC
rnacentral:lncRNA from 1 species